rnacentral:piRNA from 1 species
UAAUUUAAUGGUAUUGUAAUA